GCAGCGAUAGCUCAGUGGCAGAGCGGUCGACUGCAGCCCCGCUCACAUCGUCAGGUCACCGGUUCAAACCCGGUUCGCUGCU
rnacentral:tRNA from 1 species